GGGGCUGUAGCUCAGCAUGGGAGAGCGCCUGAAUCGCACUCAGGAGGUCGUCGGUUCGAUCCCGAUCAGCUCCACCA
rnacentral:tRNA from 1 species